GACGAACGCUGGCGGCGUGCUUAAUACAUGCAAGUCGAGCGAAUGGAUUAAGAGCUUGCUCUUAUGAAGUUAACGGCGGACGGGUGAGUAACACGUGGGUAACCUGCCCAUAAGACUGGGAUAACUCCGGGAAACCGGGGCUAAUACCGGAUAAAAUUUUGAACCGAAUGGUUCGAAAUUGAAAGGAGGCUUCGGCUGUCACUUAUGGAUGGACACGCGUCGCAUUAGCUAGUUGGUGAGGUAACGGCUCACCAAGGCAACGAUGCGUAGCCGACCUGGGGGGGUGAUCGGCCACACUGGGACUGAGACACGGCCCAGACUCCUACGGGAGGCAGCAGUAGGGAAUCUUCCGCAAUGGACGAAAGUCUGACGGAGCAACGCCGCGUGAGUGAUGAAGGCUUUCGGGUCGUAAAACUCUGUUGUUAGGGAAGAACAAGUGCUAGUUGAAUAAGCUGGCACCUUGACGGUACCUAACCAGAAAGCCACGGCUAACUACGUGCCAGCCGCCGCAGUAA
rnacentral:rRNA from 1 species